UAUAUAUAUAUAUAUAUAUACUAUAUGUAUGUAUGCACAGGUUACCAUGGGUGUAGCCCCUGUUCUCCAGGAUGUGGACUUGAAGGUUUAAGAGAACUGCAGAUGGUACGCAACACUGCGGCAUCUCUCCAUAAAUCAAAAAUCAAAAGGCCGUUGCUGUUGGAAUAUUUCACUUACGCUUUACUCUGGUGUCAUUAUUUAGAUUUAUUAAUGAGGAAUUAUGUUGAAGUCAAGCUUUAAUUUCCUGCACAAGAACCUGUUUUACUUAGGUCUGUUUUUUCUGUUGGUACAAUGAACACGCCGGCACACCGUUAAAAGGUUUGAAUCAUCCAGAAUAACAUCAUGUGCUUUAGUGUUAAAAGAUGGUCUUUUAAGGCUGACGUGCAGAGAUAAAUACACACUAAAUGAAAAUAAAGUUAUUGAGAUUUCUUUGUACAUAAAGUUACACAUUAAACAACAAAUGAACACACACACACA